CUGAAGUUAACAGGAGCCAAAGUCAUCUAGAAGAGAACCUUAUAUAUCUAUAACAUUAUACCUCAUAUAGAAGGCACAAGCUGAGUCUUAUGCAAGGUUUAAUGAUUGGUCAUCAAAAGAAGACUAAUCAAAGAGCACCUUAGCAAGCUUACUGGAGAAGCUCAAGGCACACCGCAAAAUUCAUCAGCAUUUUUUCUUGUGAGCCCGAAACUCGGCUUAGGGAAGGGGAUCCCCUCUACGCAUCCAGAAGACAUAAAAGCAGCCCUUUCCUAAUGAAGUCCCAGCAAAGGCAGUCAACUUAGGAAACAUUAGCGCAGCGUGGAGUUUGGAGACUCUGCCUGCAGCACACG